UCUUGUGGAGGCAGCUUUCGGCUGCCGAAGCUUGCCCCCGAAAGAGGACUUUCGGAUCUGUCUGGGACUUUCGGCCGCCGAAGGUGCCGCCGAAAGUGCCUGACUUUCGGCUCUGGAGGGACUUUCAGCCGCCGAACCUGCCGCCGAAAGUGCCCUGUUCAGCCAUUUCAUGCAUGUAUUUCUAUGAUUAUUUCAUGAUGUUUUAGGGGGUUUUUGGGGAGUAUAUUAGAGUUAUGUUUAUGUAUGUUUGGUCCCUCAUUGGAGUCCACCUGUGUAGGUUCGGACCCGAGGAACCGAGGACCCCCGCAGUGAGCCAGCUGCUAUAGAGUUUGUCAGAGCUAGCCAGAGGUGAGUGGAAUAAACCUUAAGUUUAAAUCAAUGAAAUAUGAAUUUCGAGCAUGACCCAUGCAUCAUGAAUGCCAUGUGAUAUUUUAGGUUGUUUGCAUUAGAUUCCACGAAUAUGUUGCAUUGCAUACUUGAUGAUGUUGUGGAUGGGCAUUGAAUGACCCUUUAGUCCUUGAUAUGUUAUGAAGAGGCAUGUUAUGGUAUGGUUGCCGGUUGUACCCAUUCUACGUCCCGGCCAGAGUAAGAGAAAGACCAGGUUGUACCCAUUCUACGUCCCUGGCAUAUUGGAAAGGUUAUGUUAUGUUAUAGUAAGAGGAAGUCCGGUUGUACCCAUUUUACGUCCCGGCAUUUUGGAAUGUAGAGGACUAGAGGUGACAAUACCAUCCUUAUGUGAUAUGAUUGUGAUGUGUUGCAUUUCAUGUAAGCAUGAAAUUUUAAAAUAUGUUUUCUCUAUUCUGCUCACUGGGCUUUGUAGCUCACCCCUCUCCCCUAACCCCAGAUGUGCAGGUACAGGGUAGACCAGGAGGUUAGCCAGAGUCUUGAAGGAUGUUUAUGUAAUAGUUAGGUUGUGGACAUGACAAUUGUACUAUGAUGUAAUGUAAAAGAUUAUAGCAUGUUAUGUAAUGAGAUAUAUUGAGGUUAUAGUUGUGCUUGACCCUAUGGGUAUUGUUGUCCCUUUUGAUACAUGAUCUAUAGAUAUGUUUAUGAUGUUCAUGACAGUCCAAACUCAAUGUAUGAUGAGAUACCCCAUUGGAGCAUUGAUGAGGACUCCAGUGGUGGUUUAUGUGUAUGAUUAUGUAAUGUACAGGUUGAGCUUGGUAGAUAUAUGAGAAAGUUUACAGAUUCUUUUGAGUUGUUUGAUCAUGUAUGGGAUUUACAGGUUUAC
rnacentral:lncRNA from 1 species